rnacentral:rRNA from 1 species
UGGGGAAUUUUGCACAAUGGAGGAAACUCUGAUGCAGCGACGCCGCGUGAGUGAUGAAGAUCUUCGGAUUGUAAAACUCUGUCCUUAGUGAAGAUAAUGACAGUAACUAAGAAGCAAGCCCUGGCUAAAUACGUGCCAGCAGCCGCGGUAAUACGUAUGGGGCAAGCGUUGUCCGGAAUUAUUGGGCGUAAAGGGUACGUAGGCGGUUUAAUAAGUCCUAAUUAAAAGGCUAUGGCUCAACCAUAGUAUGGUUAGGAAACUGUUGAACUUGAGUAGAUGAGGGGAAAGUGGAAUUCCAUGGGUAGCGGUGAAAUGCGUAGAUAUAUGGAGGAACACCAAUGGCGAAGGCAACUUUCUGGAAUCAAACUGACGCUGAGGUACGAAGGCGUGGGGAGCAAACAGG